ACGGCUCAGUAACACGUGGAUAACCUGCCCUUAGGUCCGGAAUAACCUCGGGAAACUGAGGAUAAUACCGGAUCGCCCUUUUUCGCCGGAAUGCAUAAAGGGUCAAAGAACUUCGCCUAAGGAUGGGUCUGCGGCCUAUCAGGUUGUAGCGGGUGUAACGUACCCGCUAGCCGACAACGGGUACGGGUUGUGAGAGCAAGAGCCCGGAGAUGGACUCUGAGACAUGAGUCCAGGCCCUACGGGGCGCAGCAGGCGCGAAAACUUUACAAUGCAGGAAACUGUGAUAAGGAGACACCGAGUGCUCGCAUCAAAUGCGGGCUGUCCGCUUACCUAAAUCGUAAGCGUUAGCAAGGACCGGGCAAGACCGGUGCCAGCCGCCGCGGUAAUACCGGUGCUCCGAGUGGUAGCCGCUUUUAUUGGGUCUAAAGGGUCCGUAGCCUGUCAGGUCAGUCCAUUGGGAAAUCCGGAUGCUCAACAUCCGGGCUUCCAGUGGAUACUGCCUGACUUGGGAUCGGGGGAGGUAAGAGGUACUAUAGGGGUAGGAGUGAAAUCUUGUAAUCCUUAUGGGACCACCUGUGGCGAAGGCGUCUUACCAAAACGAGUCCGACGGUGAGGGACGAAAGCUGGGGGCACGAACCGGAUUAGAUACCCGGGUAGUCCCAGCCGUAAACGAUGCUCGCUAGGUGUCAAGCAUGGCGUGACUGUGUUUGGUGCCGAAGGGAAGCCGUGAAGCGAGCCACCUGGGAAGUACGGCCGCAAGGCUGAAACUUAAAGGAAUUGGCGGGGGAG
rnacentral:rRNA from 1 species